rnacentral:rRNA from 1 species
AUUGAACGCUAGCGGGAUGCUUUACACAUGCAAGUCGAACGGCAGCGCGGACUUCGGUCUGGCGGCGAGUGGCGAACGGGUGAGUAAUGUAUCGGAACGUGCCCAGUAGCGGGGGAUAACUACGCGAAAGCGUAGCUAAUACCGCAUACGCCCUACGGGGGAAAGCAGGGGAUCGUAAGACCUUGCACUAUUGGAGCGGCCGAUAUCGGAUUAGCUAGUUGGUGAGGUAACGGCUCACCAAGGCGACGAUCCGUAGCUGGUUUGAGAGGACGACCAGCCACACUGGGAAUGAGACACGGCCCAGACUCCUACGGGAGGCAGCAGUGGGGAAUUUUGGACAAUGGGGGCAACCCUGAUCCAGCCAUCCCGCGUGUGCGAUGAAGGCCUUCGGGUUGUAAAGCACUUUUGGCAGGAAAGAAACGUCGCGGGCUAAUACCCCGUGGAACUGACGGUACCUGCAGAAUAAGCACCGGCUAACUACGUG